rnacentral:rRNA from 1 species
GGAGUUUGAUCCUGGAUCUCGAUGAACGCCGGCGGUGUGCCUAAUACAUGUGGGUCCAUCGCGUUGCCCCAACUGAUUGGGCGGGCUUGCACUCUCUUGACGUUGGUUUACCAGCGAGUGGCGGACGGGUGGGUAACCCCCGCGUAACCUGCCCCCAAGCGGGCGAUAACAUUUGAAAACAUAUGCUAAUACCGCAUAACAACUUGAAUCGCAUGAUUCAGAUUUAAAAGAUGGUUUCGGCUAUCACUUUGUGCAUGGACCUGCGGCGCAUUUUGUUGUUGGUAGGGUAAUGGCCUACCAAGGCUGUGAUGCGUAUCCCAGUUGACACACUGAUCUCCCGCUAUGUAACUGAGACCCCGCCCAUACUCCUACGUGAGGGAUGAGUACGGAAUCUUCCACAAGGGCUCCAAGCCUGAUGGAGCCCCACCUCUCGAGUGAAGAACGGUUUCCGCUCGUGCAGCUCUGGUGUUCUAUAACAACGUGCGUGACACUAACUGUUCACGCAGUGACGGUAUCUAACCACAUGGUCACGGCUAACUACGUGCCACCAAUCGCGCCACUACCUACGCGGCUUGCGUUAUCCGCAUUUAUUGCGCGUAAAGCGAGAGCAUGCGGUCUGACUCGUCUGAUGUGAAAGUCUUUGCCUUAACCAAAGAACUGCAUCGGAAACUGUCAGACUUGACUGCAGAAGAUGACAGUGGAACUCCAUGUGUAGCGGUAGCAAUGCGUGUAUAUAUGCAAGAACUUCCGUGCCUCAACGUCAGUGUCUAGUCUGAGACUGACUCUCACCUCGGAAGUCCGCCUUAUAUAUACGAUUUAUACGCUGCUAGUGCAUGUCGUAUACGAUGACUGCACGCAUGUAAGAGUUCCCACUUCGGUGAUGAGCUAACGCAUCAUUACUCUG